GUUGCACGUGAUGCGGGUACAUGAUGCUCGUGUGGAUACUGUAUCGCAAUGACCACCGAGGAAGAAAGCCUGUGCUGUGAGGAAUGGGAUCUCAUCCAGCCUGGUCUGGAUGGGUCCCCAGAUAACGGACAUGGUUUCGCCCAUACACAGAGGUUUCCCCAUCUGAUCUAUAAGGAUGUUCUGGAAGCGUUUUUUUUUUUGUCCUGAAAGUAAAUUGGAAGAAGCAGCCUAAACCGGACGGACCUGAUGGCCAGCUGUCUAAUGACCAAUGCAGACUCGUGGCCUACCGGGUGAUUCUGGAGUGGGUUCUGAGAGGAGAGCGCCUUGGCCGUGGCACCAGAAGAACUUUGCCUACCUGUGUUAUAGCAGUGAUCAGACACGAGUACCCCUCCCCCACUGGAAGUUACACGGGAUUCAAAGAGGCAGAGGACAUUUUCUGAGUCUAAUAAUAUGAUUUCUAGUAAUACUUGGUAUUGCCAUUACUAGGAAUAAACAAAGCAAUUGCACAGUUCUAUUAGGAAAAAGUGUUGUACAAGUAAAGUAAAUUGUAAGAAUAAAUACAUUGUAAGAAUAAGUACAUUGUACAGUUCUAUAAUACAUUGCUGCACCUGUCUGUUAUCAGUGGUUUUAUAAUAUAACAGUACACAU